AUUUAAAUAGCUUAUAUUUAGAGCAUAACAUUGAAGUUGUUAGGGAGGUAAAGUAUCUUUAAAUA
rnacentral:tRNA from 2 species